rnacentral:misc_RNA from 1 species
GUGAGUCAUCGAAUCUUUGAACGCACAUUGCGCCCCUUGGUAUUCCGAGGGGCAUGCCUGUUCGAGCGUCAUUAUAACCUUCAAGCCUAGCUUGGUCUUGGAGUCGCUAGCUAGCGGCCCCCAAAUUCAGUGGCGGCGCCUGUAGGCUCUACGCGUAGUAAUCUUUCUCGCGACGGACGCCUAGGGGUGCUUGCCAACAACCCCAACCUUCUCAGGUUGACCUCGGAUCAGGUAGGGAUACCCGCUGAACUUAAGCAUAUCAAUAAGCGGAGGA